GUAGUGGCGAAUGAAGCGGGAAAAGCUCAAGUUUGAAAUCUGGUAGGUAAAACUGUCCAGAGUUGUAAGCUGGAGAGGCGAUGUCCGACGCGGUCCAGGCUCAAUUUCCUUGGAACAGGAGGUCAUGGAGGGUGAGAACCCCGUACAUGGCUUGGGUACCGCCGUCCUUGUGACGCGUCCUCUAAGAGUCGGGUUGUUUGGGAAUGCAGCUCAAAAUGGGUGGUAAAUUUCAUCUAAAGCUAAAUAUUGGCGAGAGACCGAUAGCAAACAAGUA
rnacentral:rRNA from 1 species